GCCACCACAAAGCAGGAGUUGGCCACCAAUGGAUCGUCCAUAUGGGACUUAAGAGCUAUGGCUAAUAGUAACUGGGCAAACAUCACCUGGAGCCACAAUUACUCUGCAGGAACUGACUUUGUGGUUAAGUAUAUCACCAGUAACAAGACAGAGAAAUCUAUUCCCGUUAAAGCUCAGACCCCUUCCUCUGUGCAGCUGGCGGAUCUGACGCCGGGGAUGAUGUACAAGCUGUGGGUGUUCCCCAUAUGGUCUAGCCCCAGUGA
rnacentral:lncRNA from 1 species